UGGCAAAGUCAUGAGGCCAGGCUCUCCUCCAUUCUGUUCAUCCUGACCGCACGUCUCACCUCAGCAUUAGACUACAGCAUGUUUCCUAUGAAUUGCAAGGGAAAUGGUCCAAGAAGCAACUUCCCUACUUCAGACAUCUACAUCCAUGCUGAAGAGACAAGGAGGCAGGCAAUGAAAACCAAGAAGAAAAGGUUGUGGCGCUCAGGGGAUGUGGGAUCAGAGGAAGGCUGACGCUGCAUCCUGGAAGUCUCACUGUUUCGGUAAACUGCAAACAGGUAGGAGUAAACAAGGCUAAAUGUAAGUGUUCGGGCUCUUUCAAACCCAUGUAAGGUUUUCUAUUAGUCUAUCUUGACACCUGCUAAUAAUGGUGCAGACCAUUCUCACAGAUCAUGUUAGAACUGUUUGCUCCCUCUCACCAUGUGCUGUCUGUUACCCUCUUCCAGCUUUUUAUGAACCAUACAAUUUGUUUUUCCUAGUGGAUGACCAGUUUGACCUCUAGCCGUAACAAAGCCCUUUUCUUCUGGAGAACUGAACCCACUAUUUCAGCCCUAAUGUUGUGGGUUGAAUCAGAAUAGCUAGAUUUUUAGGGGCUUAGCAACGAAGUUGCUUGAAUGAGGGUGCCUGAUGAAAUCAAAAAGUUACCUUUACAGAGGACUGCAAGUACGAAUGAACAUGGAUGAAUGCACAGGAAAGCUUACUUAAGUUCUUCCACAAUAGAAAUCACACAAGGACUGGUCAAAGCAAAAACAUAAAUGAAAUAAAAAUUGUUCAACAAGCUUUUUCAUCAAUGAGGAACUGAGUCAUUAAACAAUACAUCAUUCAUUUUAUUUUAUUUUAUUUUAUUUUAUUUUAUUUUACAAAAUGAAGCAGUGCUUUCAUUCUUCACUGAUUGCAGUUUGGUAUCUGCUUCUUCUUUGUUCACUCAAGCUUUUGUUUAAUUAUAUGGAUAUUCUCUUGAAAAUACAGUAGAAUAAAAACACAAGGAAAAAAAAAUGAAGAAUGUAACUGCUGCAGCUAUAUAUAGUUCUUUUUCCCCUCAAAAUAAGUACUGGCUCCAUAUUGAAUAUAAUGUAAAUUUGGAGCACAGAAAUAAUGAAGUCUUUGUUUUAACAAAACAGCAUUGGUCUUAAAGGUAAACAUAGGCUAAGCUAAGGAAAGACUAUACGAACAUUGUAGGACAAAAUUUGUCGUGGGCUUUUCCACUGUCAUUCAAAUCUCAAGAAAAAUAGUUAGCAGAGGCAUUUUAUAGUAGUAAGUUUACACCUCCAAAACAGAUAGAGGGAGCCUUCUGUAUCUCCAGAUACACUAAGUAUAAUAAAUACCAUCUCUAGAAAACCUAAUAGGAAGUCAAUGUUUAAUGAAAGAUAAAGAAUACAGUAUCAUUCUGAUUAUUCUCAGAAUUACCCAAAACUGGGAAACCAUUCUGGCGACUGCAAAUCUUUAAGUAUUAGCAUAGCUUAAAGGGAAUAAAGCAACAAUUAAUGGAUGGAGAUAAUUUUCUGCAUUAGCAACAUCAAAGCAAAGAGCAAUGUCUACAGUUUAAGAAGUCAUAUAGAAACAUCAGUUAAAAAUUUUAAUUAAAUAAUAUCUAAUGAAUAUUCAAAACAAAACAGUGACAAAAAUAUUCUUCAGAGCAUAAAUGUCACAACCAUAAAAAGGCCAGUUAUAAGUGCGAGAUUAGUGACUUACUUCAGAAAAUGUGUUUUAUCAUUGUAAGUCUACUAACAUAAAUUAAUAUAAACCAAGCUAAGCUAAUGUUUUCCUGUUAUACAUUUGUUAAAAAAAUAUCAUCUUUACCAUUUUACUUAGCCUACAAUGUAGAAAAAAUCAGUCCAACAACGUAGUCCUUUACAUUCACAUAAAGCCUAAAUGCAUUAGAGUCACGCCUCAUCACUAAAUGAAGAUUUUCAGGAGCUCAGAUUCCUUAUGGGAUUGUGGAGAGUGGUUUCUAGAUACAUUUUUGAACUUUUAUCUACAGGAAAACCUAAUUAUUAUGAAACCUUAAUACUGUUUUAAUACAUUUGUUUUAAACUAUAUACUGUAGGAGAAAAGCCAAGCACAUCCUCAGCUGCCCUUUUAUUGCUUCUGCAGUAACAGCCUAAGUAGCCAGGUUGGCCAAGGAGUACAUCUGUGACUGAAUAUUUUGCUAUGCUUUGGAAUGUGUGUGAGUUUAUAGAAAUGUAUUAUUUCAUGGUCCACAUUAGUAGAUAAUCUGUCAGCUUCUACAGGCGAUCUAGGUCCUUAUUUGAAGAGAUAAUUCAUUGUAACUUCAGAUACAGUAAGGAUAUGUCAGAUGCCUCUAUUGCAGUGUGCACAAACUAAUUAAAUCAUGACAUAUAUUAAAAAAUUUAUUUUUCUUGGACCAAUGUGAUCAAUAUGGAAGAAAAUAUAUGUAUUUAAUGUUUAUUGUUGUUUACUACCUGUGAAAACAAAUAUUCAAUAUUGUAGAAAUAUAGUAUGAAAUGUUUUGGGAUGAUAUUCUGGUUCUUUUUUUUUUCCUUUGAACUCUUCAAGUCAGUUGAAAUCCACAUCAGGAAAGGAAUCUUACAAAUUCAUGUCACCUUUGAGAAGUACAUUUUUCUCUUGGUUAAUCCAUUUGACUAUGAAACAAUAUAUAGGCAACAGUUUACAGUUAUGAAAAGUUGCUCUUAGUCUGUAAGGCUGUGUACAAGGCAACAAAAAUCAAUUAAUUAAUUAAUUCAAGAGAAUAAGUUGGGCAGCUCAAUCUUUAAAGUCCAUAAAGUUUUAAAAGGAGAAGAAGAACAAAAAUGAGAAAAAUGUAAAAAGUAACUGAUAUCAUCUACCUGUGCUUGUGUAAAACUUUUGACACUGUCCUACAUGAUAUCCUUGUCUCUAAAUUGGAGAGACAUGGAUUUUACAGAUGGAACACGUCACAGAUAAGGAAUUGGUAGGAUGGUUCCACUCAGAGAACUUUGGUCAACAGUUCAAUGUUGAGGUGGAGACCAGUGGCAUUCCCUGAGGGUCAGUAUUGGCAGAUGUACUAUUUAAUAUCUUUGUUGGUGACAUGGAUGGUGGGACUGAGCAUACCCUCAGCAAGUUUUCCAGCAACAUCAAGCUACAUGAUGCAGUCAACACGCUGGAAGGAAGGAAUGGCAUCCAGACAGACCCUGACAGAAUCAGAGGUAUGCCGAUGUGAACUUUAUGAGAUUCAACAAUGCCAAGUUCAAGGUUCUCCAUCUGUGUUGGGGUAAUCCUAAAUAUGAAUGCAUGCUUGAUGGAGAAUAGAUUGAGAGCAAUUUAGAGGAGAGGGACUUGAAGGUGUUGUUUGAUGAGAAACUCAGCAUGAGCCAUCAAUCUUGCUUGCAGCCCAGAAACCUAAACAUAUCCUGGACUACAUCAAAAGAAGGGUUUCCAGCAGGUUGUGAAAGGUGACUGACCACUUCUCUUCUCUUGCAAGGCCCCCACAGUUACUGCAUUCAGGUCAGGAAUUUCUAGCAUAAAGACAUGGACCUGCUCAGUUUGGUCCAGAGAAGGCCAGAAUUAUUAGAGUCUCUCUUAUGAAGAGAAACUGAGGUGGCUGUCUUCAUUCAGCCUGGGGAAGCUCCGGGGAGACCUCACUGAUUCCUGUCUAUUGCAGGGUCUAAAAGGGGCUUUUGAGAAAGCUGGCGAGGGACUUCUUGUCAGAGAGAGCAGUGAUAGAACAAGGGGCAAUGGUUUUAAACUAAGAAAGUAGAUUCAGGUUAAAUAGUAGGAAGAAAUUAUUUAUGAUGAGCAUGGUGACAGCAGAUUUUAACAAACUGAGUGAGUGGCAGCAAGCAGACACAACAGUUUGUGCAGAAGUGUCAGAGUUCUGCUAAGAACUUCUGAAGAUCUCAUUGGAAGUUGGAAGUUGUGAAACCUUUCCGGGGAGCCCUGAGGAACUGGAGGAUGAUUACUACAAACUGGAAAGGAGACCUAGGGAAGGACAACUACAGAAGAACUUAGCUUCUCCUGGGAGGAGAUCUAGCUAGAUAUAGCUGCUGCUAACAGUCCUUGAUUAGCGUGGGUCCAGCACCUAGUGAGUCAGUCUUAGGCAGAGGCGUAUAUAAGAGCCAGGCCCAGAGCGUAGUGAACAGGCAGUGAUCACAGCAAUCAUAUGUAGUAGUUGGCACUGUGGGGGCAUGCAGCAGGGUUUGUGAAGGUGCAAGAAGGAAUCUUAAUUGCUCUAUUAAUUUCCAGCACCAUAUGCUUCAUCAGACACACCAAAGAACACUUUCCCUUGUAUCUUCUGGAGUUGCUGCACUGACCUUGUCAGGCUUGGACUCAAAGAGACACACUUCUGAUUCAGGUGUAUUUGUCUCGGGCUGUAGGGAGUGCCUGAGGCCUCUCUGUGAAGACUGGCCUGUCAGUCAGCUAUCCUGUGGAAAGUAUAGUACUCUAGAUAACCUUUGGCAUUGAAUCAGGGAGUUACAGGAGUAAAUAACUUGACCAUGUAUGGUUAGAGAAGAUGAGUAGGAAACGGUGUUCUCAAGGUGACUGUUCACCUUCAGAUCCAAUUCCUCACACCAGUGAAUUUACUGCAAAGUUUGUGCCAUGCGAAGUAUUGAUGAAUUCUGGAAUGUCAUCACUUCAUGUAAGAGGAGUAAGAGGAGAAAGGCUUCUCCUCCUCCUGAAGACUUGCAGUUAAGAAAUGGGUUUAGUGCUGUCCCAUCUGAGAAGGAAGUCAGCAUGGCUUCAGAAGAGGCAGCUGUGCAGUACGACCCAGUGCCUUGUGGGAACACCUGAAAGAAGUGAAGAGUAAUUGCAGCAAAUGACUUGCUGUUUCAGUAAACAGGUGGACCUAUGUGCAGAACUAGUUGUCUGGAGAGAUUUAUUGCCUGCCAGGGGCUUGAAUAUGUGACAUCAUCAGAAGUUUCCCAAGGCUUAUUCACACAUCAAACUGUUACCCUCUGCUCUUCUAUGUGGGCACUAAUGAUACCAAGUGCAAAUUGGAAAAAAAAAAAUUGGAAAGAAAUUGGACUAGAUGAUCCCAAAUGGUCUCUUUCAACCUCAACUGUUCUGUGAUUCUGGUCUCCUUCAACCCAAGCCAUACUCUGAUUCUACCUUGAGAAUAUAGAUUUUGAUAGUUACAUUUCUUCAGACUAAACUGAUCCUUUUUGCCAUCCUGGAUGUGCCUCAAAAAUUAAAAUAGCUACCCUUUAUGCUGCUUAUCUCACAGAUGCCCUGAAAAUUAAUUUCAACUGAACAAACCUGGCACUAUUCACUAGUGAAGAGGAUGAGCACUGUCUCCACAAGUUCCAGCACAGCCUACAAACAGGAGUGCUUUACACAAUGACUGGCUUGCUGCUCUAGGCUGUUUGAUGUUGAAAGAAGUAUGACAGUCACUAUAUCUGGUUGAAAUUUCAACAGAAAAUUUUGCUUUAAAUGUAUAUGUUGAUUUUCACAUGCAACAUAUUGCACUUAAGACAACAAUAAUGCAAGGAAAAAAACAUUAACAAAAUGAAAAUACCGUUACACAUUGGAAAACACAAGUAGUAUGCAUUGCCUUGUAGAAUAACUUGCAACUACCACCCCUUUCCCAGCAUACUUUCGUGUUUAGAGUGAUUAUAAAGAAAUCAGUAAGAUGCUAAAGUGUUAAUUAACGAGAGAGAGAGAGAGAGAGAGAGAAUGAAUGAAUAAACAAAUGAACAAAUGAACAAACUUGGAGUUUACUGAGUGUUGUAACAUGUUGUAACCUGUUUAUAUGUAUGACACACUACAUGACCGACAUCUUACAGAAACACAAUACUAGGCUGCAUUAUUUCACUGUUUCAUGUCACAAUUCAGAAAGAAAAAAAAAUUGCAGCAAGAUUUAUACUACUCUGGUCAGAACAGCCCCACAGUUCCUGUGGGAGAUAGGUAAAGAAAGAAUUUUGCAGCACAGCAUCCAACAGUUAGAGUACUUCAGAGUUUCAGUUUGAGAGAAAGAGGAGAGGAGAGGAGAGGAGAGGAGAGGAGAGGAGAGGAGAGGAGAGGAGAGGAGA
ensembl:lncRNA